CCCACGACGACCAGCAGCAGAGGAGGGAGGACGAGGAGCAUGACGGCGGCGGCGGCAGGGAGCAGCAGUAGCAGGCGGAGGCGCUGUGCUUGCAAGCCUCCCAAAUCCCAAAUCCCCACCCGACAGGUUUACGCGUGCUCAUUUCCUUGGCUGAUGCGGAAGGGGAGGCUUGCAAUGCUGAUGCGUAAGGGGAGGCUUGCAAGCAACCCCAGUCUGAAUGAAUUCAGUCAGGGUCACACAGGGGUUGCUUGAGAGAGCCCUUGAAGUGUAUGGAAAUGAUUUGGAUGAUGCAAUAAAGAGUUUGAAGGACCUGCACCUGAUGGAGUCAAAUCAGGGUAACCUAUCGUCCACUGGUUCCACUUUUGAAAAUGGGCCGACAGCAGUUCAGCCAUCUGUUGAAGGUGUUGUUACCAGCGGAGGUGUGGACACAGCUACUGAACACCAACCUGCCACAGCUAGCCACCAGCCACGUAAUAGUGGCCCUAAAUGGGUCGAUCUUUUUGUGAGAGAGAUGUCAAAUGCUUCUGACAUGGGACAGCGCUCAAGCUUGUGCUUCAAGAGCUGUGGAAGCCUUGACGAAGUCUAUUCUGGAGGGUGCAGGAGCUGAAGCGCACAGAGCUUGCUUCAGGAAAACAUGGUGCUCAAGGAGCAGGUGACGGCCGUCCUGUCGUAGAACGGGGUCCUGAAUUUGUUUAUAUAUUUGUUAGAUGUACGAGCAGCAGAAGAAAAUCUCCCCUCCGCUCAUUGUUGGUGGUUGAGACUCGGGUCGUCGAUGCAAAUCAAUCAAGUGCCCCCAUCUUUAGUUAUUCUGUUUGGUGAAUGGGGAGUUGAUGAACCCGGGGUAGCGACAGAUAUACCUUAUCUUCCCGGCGGACAGCACCUUCCACGAGGAUGACGUCUCCAACUACUCCAGCAUCUACGGUCCUGUCCAUGAUGUGCGCAUCCCCUACCAGCAGAACCACAUGUUUGGGUUCGUCACCUUCGUCUACAAGGAGAAGGGCAAGGUCCCCGGCAAGUUCAGGAAGCAGAAGGGCGAGACGGUGGACUUCUCUACCUGCGGGUCUCCCAACUAUUGUAUCUACUUGAUUGUCUUCUGUUAUCCAGAUCGAAAUUGUCCUAAGAAUGAGGCAACACUCGGAGGUGGCACCUACACAUGAUCCCUGUCUCUCUUAGAUGUCAAGGUCGUUUCUCUCCAUAUUGUAUACCUCUCAUAGGUUUUUUCCUGGCUUUUACUUUAUGAUGUGUAGAGAUUAAAUGGUAUCUGCUUGGAAUAUUAUUGUAUUUGGCACUAAUAAAUCAUAAAUAAUGGUAUGAGACUAUGAGUAUACUCUUACGGUUUUACUUAAUUUCUACCUCCGUUGAUAUAGCAUAUCUUCUUUGUAUUAUUUCACAGGAUUCUUUGCUAGAAGUUAAAAUAUCCUAUAUAAUAUGGAAAAGAGAUAGCUUAAAUCGGUGCAUGUGUAAUUAACUCCAUAUAUUAUUUCGAGGAAGAGUUCAAUACAUGCAUGUUCUCUCAAAUUAGGUUUCCCUUGGUGUGUAUAUAAAUGUGAUGCUUCCUUCCAUGACUAAACAUGUUGAUGUUAGGUAUGAAUGUACAGUCGAGUCAUGUUUAACAGAAUUGCUUUCUGCAUUAUCAGAUCACCUACAAUUAUUAUUCUUUAUUACAGUCUCAUACUAAAGUAGUCUGAUUAGUCAUAGUAAUUCAUAAAUAUUUCCAGUAUAUAUAGUUCUUAUUCGGUUAGUAGGACUUUUUUCCAAUUGUGAUGUUUGAAACAUUUUCUUAUACUGAUAAUGAUCUAGAAUAAAACAGACCAAUGAUAACUGGUAUGUAGCUUUUGAAGCCACUGAUAUAUACAAAAUAUUAUUUGAGUACAACAGGAGAGAUGCAAUCUUAUGGAUAUUUCCACAUUUGUAAGAAACAUUCAGCUUGGCAAGCGGACUUGACUAGCCAUGUGUAGGACUCAGCCCUGCUGACUUCAAAAUGAUUAGUCAUUGGUGUUUUCUUAAGUACCUGUUAGCCCAAGUGCAUCAGUUAAGUAGAGUGUUAUGUUGAAAAAAGGAAAGAGACUACUCUUUUGUUACUUGCAGUACAGGUACAUGCUAUAACAUAUUACCUUUAUGCUCUCUUUGGAUUUCAGUAUAUGCAUGUGAACAAAUAAGUCACUAAUAUCAAUGCCCAAGAAUUAUUUGUUUGCUAUUCUAAUCGUUCCAGCAGAGAGCAAUGGAUAUAGAAGAAAUAUGUGAACGGUUGUUACAGAGAUUGAACUCUAUAGAUAGCAGCUCUCAUUGGGUGACUGAAUUAGACUCUGACAUGAAUUAUCAUAUUUUCUGGUUCUCUGCUCUAAUCUAAGCUCUAAGACUACAUGAACUACCAUAUAUUCUAAUUUGUUUGGCUACACUACACCGUUCUAACUUGCUGGCUAUGAGCAUCAGAUGUGUUAGACAAAAAAUCAUUGUUAAAUGAAUAAUAGUGCCAAAUGAGAUUCACUAAUCAAACACCAUCGAUGAAGUCACAUUUAUGCGUAGCGAGCCAUGCUUCCUAUCUGUUCUAUGUUAUGUUUCUGAAUAUGUAUCCACGUCAACUGGUCUAAAGUUGCGUAUCUAGAUGAGUUGCAUUUUGUUUAUUUACUAAAAUAUAGCUAUUAUGGGAUUAUUUGGUUAUCAGCUUUAUGAACAAGCAUCCAGUAUAUGCUGCGAGGAGUGACAAUGCAAGACCAGCGCUGUUUUCAUGCACAUUUGCAUAUAGUUUCAGUCAAUAUGAUAGUAAACUUUCUCUCAACGACUCUGACCUUACAAAAUAUUAGGUAUCCUUAGUUCCAAAUAUGGUUUUAAAGGUUCUAAAAUUAUUUCUUUGAUGCCAGGUGCCAUGCUGUGGAGAACAUCUAGCCGCCAUUUACACUUAAUUUCCUCCAUGUUUCGAUCAAGUGCCUCCACUCCUCACCACCUCUUUAUCUAUCAUGGUAGCAGCAAUGGAGGUCUCCAAGGCCACUUCCUCUUUUGGUUUGGCAACCCGCCAGCCCUCCAAAGAGAUUCUUGAGACAUGGCGGUGCCAAUGAGGUGUGCUUCGAUGUGGAUAGCACUGUGUGCUUGGAUGAGGGUAUUGAUGAGCUUGCUGAUUUCUGUGGGGCUGGGCAGGCGGUUGCCGAGUGGACGACAAAGCAAUUGUCACAGUUUCUGGAAUGUGUUAGUUGUUUAGCAUAUAAUAUCUUCCGAAAAACUACUUGGCCUUAUUAUUCUCAGGGCGAUGACAGGGACCGUUCCAUUUGAUGAGGCUCUUGUUGCCUGGAUCUCUUUAAGUAAGCCAUCUUUGUCCCAAGUUGAGGACCGUUUGGAGAAGAGACCACCCAGGAUUUCUCAAUGUUGAUUUUAUUAAGACAUUAAAAGCCAAUAAUACUGAAGUAUUCCUUGUGUCCGGAGGUUUCCGGUAAAUGAUCAAGGUGUAUCUUCACUAAACGGCUGCACGAACGAUCAACAUCUGUGUGCGCCGCUGUUUGAGAGGGACAAAAAAGAGGUUGAUUUGAUAUGGAAGAGCAAGGGAGGCCGGAAGAAUUGUGCACUUCUAUCCUUUCUACUAGCGCAUCAUAGCAUCUGAUUUUUACCCACGUCAUUGGGACCGGCACCCUCACGCCAAGGCAUGAUCACGAUGUAGUGGGAGAAGAUCUGUGGGCUUUUUGUAAUUUACCCAUAGGUUUAACAUUUACCUUUAUUAUAUCAACACCAUCAUAUGCUUCUUAGUUAAAUUUUUGAAAUGUUUAAAUUCAAAUUUAUUGAAAUUUGUUAGGUGUGACAACAUUUUGCAUGCAUAAAAGUAGCCCUAACAAACUAUGUUAUGCCUAAGACUUUAGUUGUCUAUUCUGAGUUGCU
rnacentral:rRNA from 1 species